CCCUUAGAUGUUCUGGGCCGCACGCGCGCUACACUGAUGCAUUCAACGAGUUUCUUCCUGGUCCGAGAGGAAUGGGUAACCUUUUGAAAGUGCAUCGUGAUAGGGAUAGACUAUUGCAAUUAUUGGUCUUCAACGAGGAAUUCCUAGUAGACGUAGUUCAUCAGACUGCAUCGAUUACGUCCCUGCCCUUUGUACACACCGCCCGUCGCUCCUACCGAUUGAAUGCUGAGGUGAGCCAUUCGGACUUUCAUCAUGCUGGUUUCCAGUUUUGAUGAAGGAAAGUCUUGCGAACCUUAUCAUUUAGAGGAAGGAGAAGUCGUAACA
rnacentral:rRNA from 1 species